UGAGAAUCACUUGUACCAGACAUCAUCAACUAAUGGAGUGGCGUGCCCUUAUAGUCCUGGUGGUGUUGGCCGUCCACGUCGGCGCUGAUAUACGUCCUGGCCAAGACGGUCACGGAAUCCGUCAAUAUGGUACAGGUGGCGGCUUCAACGGCGGUGGAAUCCGUGACCUAGGCACAGGUGGAGGCUUCAACGGCGGUGGAAUCCGUGACCUAGGCACAGGUGGAGGCUUCAAUGGCGGUGGAAUCCGUC